CCCUUAGAUGUUCUGGGCCGCACGCGCGCUACACUGAUGCAUUCAACGAGUCUAAAACCUGCUCUGAUAGGGGUGGGUAAUCUUUUGAAUGUGCAUCGUGAUUGGGAUAGAUGAUUGCAAUUUUUCAUCUUCAACGAGGAAUGCCUAGUAAACGCAAGUCAUCAGCUUGCAUUGAUUACGUCCCUGCCCUUUGUACACACCGCCUGUCGCUCCUACCGAUUGAAUGAUCCGAUGAAUAUCAUGGAUUGAGGAUGUAAGCAGGUUCGCCUGUCUUCAUCUUCGAGAAGUGAAGUAAAUCUUAUCAUUUAGAGGAAGGAGAAGUCGUAACA
rnacentral:rRNA from 1 species